UACGAAGGGGGGCUAGCGUUGCUCGGAAUCACUGGGCGUAAAGCGCACGUAGGCGGAUCGCUAAGUCAGGGGUGAAAUCCUGGAGCUCAACUCCAGAACUGCCUUUGAUACUGAGGGGCUCGAGUCCGGGAGAGGUGAGUGGAACUGCGAGUGUAGAGGUGAAAUUCGUAGAUAUUCGCAAGAACACCAGUGGCGAAGGCGGCUCACUGGCCCGGUACUGACGCUGAGGUGCGAAAGCGUGGGGAGCAAACAGG
rnacentral:rRNA from 1 species